rnacentral:tRNA from 1 species
GCCGGUGUAGCUCAGUUGGUAGAGCAACGCAUUCGUAAUGCGUGGGUCCGGUGUUCGAGUCACCGCACCGGCACCA